ACAGCGUUUGGAUCGUCGGUCUACUGAGCAAUAUCACCCGCUCGGUGGAAGAUAUUCUCUUUGUCGU
rnacentral:pre_miRNA from 1 species